rnacentral:rRNA from 1 species
AUACGGAGGGUGCGAGCGUUACUCGGAGUCACUGGGCGUAAAGCGUCCGUAGGCGGUCGGGUAAGUCGGGUGUGAAAGCCCCGGGCUCAACCUGGGAAGUGCACCCGAUACUGCUCGACUCGAGUGCGGGAGAGGAUGGCGGAAUUCCCGGUGUAGCGGUGAAAUGCGUAGAGAUCGGGAGGAACACCAGUGGCGAAGGAGGCCAUCUGGCCCGCAACUGACGCUGAGGGACGAAAGCGUGGGGAGCAAACAGGAUUAGAAACCCCAGUAGUCC